GACGAACGCUGGCGGCGUGCCUAACACAUGCAAGUCGAACGGAGUAGUUUCUUCGGAGAUUACUUAGUGGCGAACGGGUGAGUAACGCGUGAGAAACCUGCCUUUCAGUGGGGGACAACAGUUGGAAACGACUGCUAAUACCGCAUAAUGUUAUUUGAGGGCAUCCUCGAAUAACCAAAGCUUUAUGUGCUGAAAGAUGGUCUCGCGUCUGAUUAGCUAGAUGGCGGGGUAACGGCCCACCAUGGCGACGAUCAGUAGCCGGUCUGAGAGGAUGAACGGCCACAUUGGGACUGAGAUACGGCCAGACUCCUACGGGAGGCAGCAGUGGGGAAUAUUGGGCAAUGGGGGAAACCCUGACCCAGCAACGCCGCGUGAAGGAAGAAGGCCU
rnacentral:rRNA from 1 species